ACUUAGCUCUAUUUUACGAUUCCUUAACAUAAGCCUGCUACCUUGGCAUGACAUCUUAAAAAGGUACAAAGCAAUACUGACUGGAUCGGACGCAUACAAUUGCC
rfam:Drosophila mojavensis strain TSC#15081-1352.22 Ctg01_6126, whole genome shotgun sequence.